GACGAACGCUGGCGGCGUGCUUAACACAUGCAAGUCGAACGGAAAGGCCCUGCUUUUGUGGGGUGCUCGAGUGGCGAACGGGUGAGUAACACGUGAGUAACCUGCCCUUGACUUUGGGAUAACUUCAGGAAACUGGGGCUAAUACCGGAUAGGAGCUCCUGCUGCAUGGUGGGGGUUGGAAAGUUUCGGCGGUUGGGGAUGGACUCGCGGCUUAUCAGCUUGUUGGUGGGGUAGUGGCUUACCAAGGCUUUGACGGGUAGCCGGCCUGAGAGGGUGACCGGCCACAUUGGGACUGAGAUACGGCCCAGACUCCUACGGGAGGCAGCUGUGGGGAAUAUUGCACAAUGGGCGGAAGCCUGAUGCAGCAACGCCGCGUGCGGGAUGACGGCCUUCGGGUUGUAAACCGCUUUCGCCUGUGACGAAGCGUGAGUGACGGUAAUGGGUAAAGAAGCACCAGCUAACUACGUG
rnacentral:rRNA from 1 species